UAAAGCCCACGUGCCCACA
rnacentral:piRNA from 1 species